GGGGAACCUGCGGUUGGAUCACCUCCUUACCUGAAGAUACCUUCCCGCGCAGUGUCCACACAGAUUGUCUGAUAAAAAGUAACGAGCAGAAAAAACCACUACAGGCUUGUAGCUCAGGUGGUUAGAGCGCACCCCUGAUAAGGGUGAGGUCGGUGGUUCAAGUCCACUCAGGCCUACCAAAUUCGCACUCACGCUGCGUUAUGUCUCCGGCUCGCAUAGUUCACUAUGCUUCGCGGAAACAUGCCUUGCCUGAGCACGAAUUGCAUUUCUCACGAAGUGUACUCGGUUGAGUGGUAGUAGUGGUCUCUGCAGUAACUGUAUGGGGCUAUAGCUCAGCUGGGAGAGCGCCUGCCUUGCACGCAGGAGGUCAGCGGUUCGAUCCCGCUUAGCUCCACCAUACCGUUUAUCUGUUUUUUUCUGAAAUACCUCAGAGCAUACCGGCGACGGUGUGCUGCGACGUAUUAUGCUCUUUAACAAUCCGGAACAAGCUGAAAAUUGAAACGACGCAGCGCGUCAUUCCUCCGUAAUAAGGAAUGGCAAAGCGAUGCGUUCGAGUCUCUCAAAUGCUUGCAAUUCGCAGCGUUGUAAAACGCCUGUGGGUUGUGAGGUUA
rnacentral:misc_RNA from 1 species